rnacentral:rRNA from 1 species
ACGCUCGACACCUACGGGAGCCAGCAGUGGGGGAUAUUGCGCAAUGGGGGAAACCCUGACGCAGCAACGCCGCGUGAAGGACGAAGGUUUUCGGAUUGUAAACUUCUUUUGUUAGGGACGAAGAAAUGACGGUACCUGACGAAUAAGCUCCGGCUAACUACGUGCCAGCAGCCGCGGUAAUCUGAGCGGGCUGGCAAGGC